rnacentral:misc_RNA from 1 species
AAACGUCAUCCCCACCUUCCUCCGGUUUGUCACCGGCAGUCUCCCUAGAGUUCUCAGCCGAACUGCUAGCAACUAGGGAUAGGGGUUGCGCUCGUUACGGGACUUAACCCAACAUCUCACGACACGAGCUGACGACGGCCAUGCAGCACCUGUCUUACAGUUCCCGAAGGCACCAAUCCAUCUCUGGAAAGUUCUGUAGAUGUCAAGGCCAGGUAAGGUUCUUCGCGUUGCGUCGAAUUAAACCACAUGCUCCACCGCUUGUGCGGGCCCCCGUCAAUUCAUUUGAGUUUCAGCCUUGCGGCCGUACUCCCCAGGCGGGGCACUUAAUGCGUUAGCUCCGACACCGAAUGCGUCUAUACACCCGGCAUCUAGUGCCCAUCGUUUACGGCGUGGACUACCA